CUCGUUUACACCGAGAGGGUCGGCGGUUCGAAUCCGUCGCCGCCUACCA
rnacentral:tRNA from 1 species